rnacentral:rRNA from 1 species
AUGGCCCCAUCAGAUUGCGAAAUACUCCCAACAAGAGACAGUCGCAUCUUCCAUUUCCGGGUAAGACUCUCGUCGCCAGAGGAUACUAGUGAUGUAAACGCGAGCACCGUCGUUGCUGGAUGCAAAUGCAAAGCUGUUUACCUACAGUCGAGCCCCAAAAUCAUAGUCCUCAUCACAGUGCGGCGUAACCCCGAUCUGGAGGGCGAUCCCAAGGUGUCUACACACAUGGUUUUACUCGACAAGACCGGCUCACCAGCGCCUUCCAUGGGGAUGGGGACGGCGACGAACAUAGGCAGCUCUAUCCCUGGCUUAAUUGGAGGUUGCAUUCUGAUAGCAAGGAGAGAUGAAGUAGAGGUGAACUGUGUGGUCGACAACUACUUUGUGGUGUUGUGCUCUGUGGACAUCAACUGGACACCUCCAACUUCAUCGCUGAAGCAGGAGCUCCCGAGUUUGGGUCAUGAUCUUGCCAUGAUGUGGGAUAAACAAGAUCUCACCGAUGUUUCCUUUCAUGUUGGCGGGGAGAGCUUCAGCGCACAUCGUCUCGUGCUCACUACCCGAUCGCCAGUCUUCAGAGCAGAGCUCUAUGGUGUGAUGGCUGAGAGCAAGAUGUCAUCUAUCACCAUCCAUGACAUGGAGGCCUCAACCUUCAGAUCAAUGCUCCAUUACAUAUAUCAUAGUUCGCUGCCUGAUGCUGGCAAGGUGGAUAUUCUUCCCCCAUGGCACAGUACCAGCAUCUGCUUGUAG